ensembl:snRNA U5 U5 spliceosomal RNA
AUGCUCUGGUUUCUCUUCACAAUGAACAAAUCUUUCGCCUUUUACUAAAGAUUUCCAUAGAGAGGAACAGUUAUGAGUUUAUAAUCAAAUUUUUAUGUCCUGCUUAGGCAGGGC